CUUCACCUUCUCAUUAAGGCCAUUAUUGAUAUCAUGAAGUGUAUCCAGAUUUUCACUAAGCUCCUUUAUAUCCAAAAAUUUUUCAACAAUAAUAUCCCUGAAAAUCAGAGAAAUUGUACUUAGAGACACUGUCUCAGCAAAAAUGGCACAGUUCUCUUCUUCUAAAUUACAUUUCUCUUCUCCCAAGUCUGAGAUUGAUUUCAUUAGCAAUCUUUGCUCAUCAACCACCUUGCAUUUCUCUUUCCGUAAAUUCUGGUAAUCCCCUUGCAAAUCU
rnacentral:misc_RNA from 1 species